rnacentral:rRNA from 1 species
GUGGGGAAUUUUGGACAAUGGGCGAAAGCCUGAUCCAGCAAUGCCGCGUGUGUGAAGAAGGCCUUCGGGUUGUAAAGCACUUUUGGCAGGGAAGAAACAGUGCGUGCUAAUACCAUGCGCGAAUGACGGUACCUGCAGAAUAAGCACCGGCUAACUACGUGCCAGCAGCCGCGGUAAUACGUAGGGUGCAAGCGUUAAUCGGAAUUACUGGGCGUAAAGCGUGCGCAGGCGGCUUUGUAAGACGGAUGUGAAAGCCCCGGGCUCAACCUGGGAAGUGCAUUCGUGACUGCAAGGCUCGAGUGUGUCAGAGGGAGGUGGAAUUCCGCGUGUAGCAGUGAAAUGCGUAGAGAUGCGGAGGAACACCGAUGGCGAAGGCAGCCUCCUGGGAUAACACUGACGCUCAGGCACGAAAGCGUGGGGAGCAAACAGGAUUAGAAACCCGUGUAGUCC